rnacentral:tRNA from 1 species
AGCCUCGUGGUGAAAUUCAUAUUAGAUUGCAAAUCUUAAGGAGCAGGUUAGUCGCCUGCCGGGGCUU